rnacentral:rRNA from 1 species
AACCGGAUUAGAUACCCGGGUAGUCCACGCCNNNNACGAUGAAUACUAAGUGUUGGAGGGUUUCCGCCCUUCANNGCUGCAGCUAACGCAUUAAGUAUUCCGCCUGGGGAGUACGACCGCAAGGUUGAAACUCAAAGGAAUUGACGGGGGCCCGCACAAGCGGUGGAGCAUGUGGUUUAAUUCGAAGCAACGCGAAGAACCUUACCAGGUCUUGACAUCUUCUGCCAGGCUGAGAGAUCAGCUGUUCCCUUCGGGGACAGAAUGACAGGUGGUGCAUGGUUGUCGUCAGCUCGUGUCGUGAGAUGUUGGGUUAAGUCCCGCAACGAGCGCAACCCUUAUGUUCAGUUGCCAGCAUUCAGUUGGGCACUCUGGACAGACUGCCGGUGACAAACCGGAGGAAGGCGGGGAUGACGUCAAAUCAUCAUGCCCCUUAUGACCUGGGCUACACACGUGCUACAAUGGGUGGUACAACGAGCAGCGAGACCGCGAGGUCAAGCGAAUCUCUAAAAACCAUCCUCAGUUCGGAUUGCAGGCUGCAACUCGCCUGCAUGAAGCUGGAAUCGCUAGUAAUCGCGGAUCAGCACGCCGCGGUGAAUACGUUCCCGGGCCUUGUACACACCGCCCGUCACACCAUGAGAGUUUGUAACACCCAAAGCCGGUGGGACAACCGUAAGGAGUCAGCCGUCUAAGGUGGGACAAAUGAUUAGGGUGAAGUCGUAACAAGGUAACCAA